rnacentral:rRNA from 1 species
ACGGGAGGCAGCAGUGAGGAAUAUUGGUCAAUGGGCGUAAGCCUGAACCAGCCAAGUAGCGUGAAGGAUGACGGCCCUACGGGUUGUAAACUUCUUUUGCCGGGGGAUAAAACGCGCCACGUGUGGCGCCUUGCAGGUACCCGUGCGAAUAAGGACCGGCUAAUUCCGUGCCAGCAGCCGCGGUAAUACGGAAGGUCCGAGCGUUAUCCGGAUUUAUUGGGUUUAAAGGGUGCGCAGGCGGGCUGCUAAGUCUCCGGUGAAAUGUCAGGGCUCAACCUUGGCACUGCCGGAGAUACUGGCGGCCUUGAGAGUGGCGGAGGUAUCCGGAAUGUGUGGUGUAGCGGUGAAAUGCAUAGAUAUCACACAGAACACCGAUUGCGAAGGCAGGAUACCAUACCAUAUCUGACGCUCAGGCACGAAAGCGUGGGGAUCGAACAGGAUUAGAUACCCUGGUA